rnacentral:rRNA from 1 species
GAUGAACGCUAGCGGUAGGCUUAACACAUGCAAGUCGAGGGGCAGCACAGGUAGCAAUACUAGGUGGCGACCGGCGCACGGGUGAGUAACGCGUAUGCAACCUACCUAUAACUGGUGAAUAGCCCCCGGAAACGGGGAUUAAUGUUCCAUAAUGUUCAGAGACUGCAUAGUUUUUGGACUAAAGCUCCGGCGGUUAUAGAUGGGCAUGCGUGCCAUUAGCUUGUUGGUGCGGUAACGGCUCACCAAGGCUACGAUGGCUAGGGGGUCUUAAAGGAUGAUCCCACACACUGGUACUGAGACACGGACCCGACUCCUACGGGAGGCAGCUGUGAGGAAUAUUGGUCAAUGGGCGCAAGACUGAACCAGCCAAGCCGCGUGAAGGAUGACGGCCCUAUGGGUUGUAAACUUCUUUUGUAUGGGAAGAACCCCCCGACGUGUCGGGGUUUGACUGUACUGUACGAAUAAGCAUCGGCUAACUCCGUGCCAGCAGCCGCCGUAAUAC